GACGAACGCUGGCGGCAUGCCUAAUACAUGCAAGUCGAACGAACCAUCCUGAAGAUUGAAGCUUGCUUCAUGAUUCAGACCUUGGUGAGUGGCGGACGGGUGAGUAACACGUGGGUAACCUGCCCAAAAGUGGGGGAUAACAUUUGGAAACAAGUGCUAAUACCGCAUAACAACUACUUUCACAUGAUCGUAGCUUGAAAGAUGGCUCUGCUAUCGCUUUUGGAUGGACCCGCGGCGUAUUAGCUAGUUGGUGAGGUAAUAGCUCACCAAGGCAAUGAUACGUAGCCGACCUGAGAGGGUAAUCGGCCACAUUGGGACUGAGACACGGCCCAAACUCCUACGGGAGGCAGCAGUAGGGAAUCUUCCACAAUGGGCGAAAGCCUGAUGGAGCAAUGCCGCGUGAGUGAAGAAGGUUUUCGGAUCGUAAAACUCUGUUGUUGAAGAAGAACAUGCGUGAGAGUAACUGUUCACGUACUGACG
rnacentral:rRNA from 1 species